UACGUAGGGUCCGAGCGUUGUCCGGAUUUAUUGGGCGUAAAGAGCUCGUAGGCGGUUCCGUAAGUCAGAUGUGAAAACUCAGGGCUCAACCCGGAGACGCCAUCUGAUACUGCGGUGACUGGAGUCUGGUAGGGGAACACGGAAUUCCUGGUGUAGCAGUGAAAUGCGUAGAUAUCGUGAGGAACACCAGAGGCGAAGGCGGCUACCUGGACAAUUGCCGACGCUCAGGCACGAAAGCGUGGGGAGCAAAAGGG
rnacentral:rRNA from 1 species